rnacentral:misc_RNA from 1 species
UAGGUGUGGCAAGCAGGG